UAACUUACCUGGCAGGCAAGAUAAUACGAUCACAAAGGUGGUUUUUCCAGAAGACUUAGCCGUUGCAUUUUGGAUGUGCUGAUCUUGUGAUUGCCUUAAAUGUGGAUAAUUUGUGGUAGUCAGGGACUGUAUUUGCACUCUCUCC
rnacentral:snRNA from 1 species